GAGUUUGAUCCUGGCUCAGAUUGAACGCUGGCGGCAUGCCUAACACAUGCAAGUCGAACGGUAGCAGGCCUUCGGGUGCUGACGAGUGGCGGACGGGUGAGUAAUGCGUAGGAAUCUGUCUUUUAGUGGGGGACAACCCAGGGAAACUUGGGCUAAUACCGCAUGAGCCCUGAGGGGGAAAGCGGGGGAUCUUCGGACCUCGCGCUAAGGGGGGAGCCUACGUCUGAUUAGCUAGUUGGUAGGGUAAAGGCCUACCAAGGCGACGAUCAGUAGCUGGUCUGAGAGGACGACCAGCCACACUGGGACUGAGACACGGCCCAGACUCCUACGGGAGGCAGCAGUGGGGAAUUUUUCGCAAUGGGGGCAACCCUGACGAAGCAAUGCCGCGUGGAUGAAGAAGGCCUUCGGGUUGUAAAGUCCUUUCGUGGGGGACGAAAAGGUGGUUCCUAAUACGAGCUGCUGUUGACGUGAACCCAAGAAGAAGCACCGGCUAACUCCGUGCCAGCAGCCGCGGUAAUACGGGGGGUGCAAGCGUUAAUCGGAAUCACUGGGCGUAAAGGGUGCGUAGGCGGUACGUUAGGUCUGUCGUGAAAUCCCCGGGCUCAACCUGGGAAUGGCGGUAGAAACCGGCGCACUAGAGUAUGGGAGAGGGUGGUGGAAUUCCAGGUGUAGCGGUGAAAUGCGUAGAGAUCUGGAGGAACAUCAGUGGCGAAGGCGGCCACCUGGCCCAAUACUGACG
rnacentral:rRNA from 1 species